GAUGAUUUUGGGUUACAAUCUCUCUCUAUUUUGAUCCUCUGAUUCGAUCUCCGUAAGGUGUUGAUUUGUGGAUGUUUCGUUGAUCCAAGGGCCGUCGAGGCUUGAUCUUGGAUGAACUAUUGGAAGUUUCUUCAAAGGGCCGUGGGCUUGAUCUUUGAAGGUGGAUUUGAGCGGAUCUUCAAGGAACCGUUGGGGCUUGAUCUUGAGGAUGAGUGUUUCUUCA
rnacentral:lncRNA from 1 species